UAACAAUGAUUUCCCUAGUAACGGCGAGUGAAGAGGAAAGAGCUCAAAGUUGGAAACUGUUUGGCUUAGCUAAACCGUAUUGUAAACUGUAGAAACAUUUUCCUGGCACACCAGAUUAAUAAGUCCUUUGGAACAAGGCAUCAUGGAGGGUGAGAAUCCCGUCUUUGAUCUGAGUAGUUGUCUUUUGUGAUAUGUUUUCAAAGAGUCAGGUUGUUUGGGAAUGCAGCCUAAAUUGGGUGGUAAAUCUCACCUAAAGCUAAAUAUUUGCGAGAGACCGAUAGCGAACAAGUACCGUGAGGGAAAGAUGAAAAGAACUUUGAAAAGAGAGUUAAACAGUAUGUGAAAUUGUUAAAAGGGAACCGGUUGGAGCCAGACUGGUUUGCCUGUAAUCAACCUAGAAUUCGUUUUGGGUGCACUUGCAGGCUAUACCUGCCAACAACAGUUUGACUUGGAGGAAAAAAUUAAUAGGAAUGUAGCCUCUCGAGGUGUUAUAGCCUAUUAUCAUACUCUGGGUUGGACUGAGGAACGCAGCGGAUGCCUUUAGGCAAGAUUGCUGGGUGCUUUCGCUGAUAAAUGUUAGAAUUUCUGCUUCGGGUGGUGCUAAUGUUUAAAGGAGGAACACAUCUAGUAUAUUUUUUAUUCGCUUAGGUUGUUGGCUUAAUGACUCUAAAUGA
rnacentral:rRNA from 1 species